GGAGCAGUUCGGCUCCGGCCGUCCUUGCAGAACUUCUUUUUACCGUCAAUCAUCUGUCGUCACCACACCUUCUACUUACAAGCAUGGAAGAAGAUCAGAGAAAAGAAACUGGAUUUGGGCUCCUUUUGCUUCUGGUGGUGGUGGACAUUUUCCCAUGGCCCCACAAGACCCACCCCCAGCUGCAUGGUGAGCAAGAUGGUGAGAAACCCGCUGAAAGGCUUCCACCAGAAGAUCAAGUACAUGUAGGAGGUUUCUGGUUGUUGAGUACACCAAACAAACAGCUGAGAAUAUCAAGUUGCCAUACUGGGGCAGAGGUCAGGAGCUCAAGGAAGAAGCUGGUGAAUUUCCAGAACCUUGAAGGACUGUCUGAGUGUUGCACGAUUUUGAGUUUCUUGUGUUCAGCGAGCAUAUGUCAGACUUGUGAUGUUGUCUCCUCUGCUCAUUAAAUCUCUCUCUCUCUUUUUUUU